rnacentral:rRNA from 1 species
AACGAACGCUGGCGGCAUGCCUAACACAUGCAAGUCGAACGAGACCUUCGGGUCUAGUGGCGCACGGGUGCGUAACGCGUGGGAACCUGCCCUUAGGUUCGGAAUAACUCCCCGAAAGGGGUGCUAAUACCGGAUAAUGUCUUCGGACCAAAGAUUUAUCGCCUUUGGAUGGGCCCGCGUUGGAUUAGCUAGUUGGUAGGGUAAAAGCCUACCAAGGCGACGAUCCAUAGCUGGUCUGAGAGGAUGAUCAGCCACACUGGGACUGUGACACGGCCCAGACUCCUACGGGAAGCAGCAGUGGGGAAUAUUGGACAAUGGGCGAAAGCCUGAUCCAGCAAUGCCGCGUGAGUGAUGAAGGCCUUAGGGUUGUAAAGCUCUUUUACCCGGGAUGAUAAUGACAGUACCGGGAGAAUAAGCUCCGGCUAACUCCGUG